rnacentral:rRNA from 1 species
AGUGAACGCUGGCGGUAGGCCUAACACAUGCAAGUCGAACGGCAGCACAGUAAGAGCUUGCUCUUACGGGUGGCGAGUGGCGGACGGGUGAGGAAUACAUCGGAAUCUACUUUUUCGUGGGGGAUAACGUAGGGAAACUUACGCUAAUACCGCAUACGACCUACGGGUGAAAGCAGGGGAUCUUCAGACCUUGCGCGAUUGAAUGAGCCGAUGUCGGAUUAGCUAGUUGGCGGGGUAAAGGCCCACCAAGGCGACGAUCCGUAGCUGGUCUGAGAGGAUGAUCGGCCACACUGGAACUGAGACACGGUCCAGACUCCUACGGGAGGCAGCAGUGGGGAAUAUUGGACAAUGGGCGCAAGCCUGAUCCAGCCAUACCGCGUGGGUGAAGAAGGCCUUCGGGUUGUAAAGCCCUGUUGUUGGGAAAGAAAAGCAGCAGGAUAAUACCCCGCUGUUCUGACGGUACCCAAAGAAUAAGCACCGGCUAACUUCGUG